rnacentral:rRNA from 1 species
GACGAACGCUGGCGGCGUGCUUAACACAUGCAAGUCGAACGGAAAGGCCCUGCUUUUGUGGGGUGCUCGAGUGGCGAACGGGUGAGUAACACGUGAGUAACCUGCCCUUGACUUUGGGAUAACUUCAGGAAACUGGGGCUAAUACCGGAUAGGAGCUCCUGCUGCAUGGUGGGGGUUGGAAAGUUUCGGCGGUUGGGGAUGGACUCGCGGCUUAUCAGCUUGUUGGUGGGGUAGUGGCUUACCAAGGCUUUGGCGGGUAGCCGGCCUGGGAGGGUGACCGGCCACAUUGGGACUGAGGUACGGCCCAGACUCCUACGGGAGGCAGCAGUGGGGAAUAUUGCACAAUGGGCGGAAGCCUGAUGCAGCAGCGCCGCGUGCGGGAUGACGGCCUUCGGGUUGUAAACCGCUUUCGCCUGUGACGAAGCGUGAGUGACGGUAAUGGGUAAAGAAGCACCGGCUAACUACGUG